UGCUAGACGCCUAGACGUAGGAAGUCGGCCUUGUUUUCAAAAUUGGUCUGGAGACUCACCCAAGAAAUGGAUUCUAAUUGGGCUCAAGUGCUUAUGACCGAGAUGGCUCUCAAACAUAUCACUUUGAUGAGUCAUAACUCAUAAGGUUUUGAAAUUCUGUCACCUUCUGGUAACUAGACAACUUAACUCUCUCUCCACCAACCACCUGCCUCCUCCAAUUAGCCUGCUGCUGUUCAACCAUUCAUCAGCCUCCUCCCUUAUGCAUGUACUCCAUGCGCCGUUGUAGCAAACGUGGGUUAUACACCCCGUAGUUCGGCCUGUUCCUUUGAUCUCAUGCAAUAGAUCUUCUCUAUUACAGUACCUCUGGUUACUAGACAACUUAACUCUCUCUCCACCAACCACCUGCCUCCUCCAUUUAGCCUGCUGCUGUUCAACCAUUCAUCGGCCUCCUCCCUUAUGCAUGUACUUCAUGCGCCGUUGUAGCAAACGUGGGUUAUACACCCCGUCGUCGUUCGGCCUGUUCCUUUGAUCUCAUGCAAUAGAUCUUAUCUAUUACACUACCUCUGGUGCUUGGCCGAGUCAGGGGCUGCGAUUGAUGAAUUGCGAUUGGGAUUUCUGUGAUAAUAUCCUUUUGGACGAUUGAGCUAAAUUUUCAGAGAGCUGUGGGUUCUUCAAUUGUAAACCGGAAGAUUCAUUCCCAAAGAUCUUGCUUGUCCCGAGGCCGAUAAGAAGGAGACAGACCAUGAAACAUCUAAGCAUACAAUAGCAUCAGGAGCUGAUAGUGAGAUGCAUUACUGAACCAAAGAGUGUUCUAUGCAAAUCUAAAGUUUGAAUUCUUGGAAAUCCUGCUAUGCAUUUAAUAGGUUUUCACCGUAUGUACCUUAAAUAUUUUUUGUCUUGUGAUUUUUUUUACUGAAUUAUGGAAAAUGAGGAUCUGGGUGGGGUUUGUUUGUUGCUUUUAAAUUCUGGUGAUUUCAUAACAUAUAUUUGAUUUUGUAAUUUUGGUUGAUGGUUGUUUAGAUUUUGGGGUUGCUGGGUGGACUUGUGAUGUUUUGGAGUUUAAUAGUUAGCUUUUACCGUGUUUGGUAUUGGUUAGGUAUAUGAACUAGUCUUCUAGACUUCUACUAUUAGUUUUAAUUAUAAAUGAAUCAUUGAUAAUUAGUUUUAUAUAUAUAUAGGUUGACACAUAAUUUUCUUGAAUUUAUGGUAUAUCUCUGAAGGGGUAUUGUUUGGAAAAUUAUGCCUUUAGUGUUGAUGCUACUAACACUGGGUUAAACCAAAUGGCAUAAGAUCAACUUGAAUAACAGUGAUAUAACACCUAGCAGAAAAUAAUUUAACAAAUAUUAACUUAAUAUAAAUCAUGCAUGUUAACCUUAUUGAUCAUGGAAUUUCAAAUUACAAUCAACACUCAAAAAUAUGAUUGUUGGAAACGAAUAAAGAAAGAAAGAAAUAAAUACUUUGACAAAUGGGUAACUCAAAUAAAUAAAAAUCCUUUAACUAAUUAAUUUUAGCUAAAUAUUUGUUUAACUAAAUGUGAAUGCUAACAACAUUUACUUAUUUCAGUCUUCACUUAAUUUAAUUUGGUGUUCCUUUUCAAUUAUUUAGAGAGUCGUGACCAUUAUAUUUGUCUUACAUUUAGCUAGCAACUUCACUUAUUUUUGCUUAUGUUUGACAUUGAUGGACGAGUGCUAAUUCCAUUGUUAAUUGAAAAAAUGUCAUAUUGGAAUUGGUACUAUGAUACCAAUUCCCCAUUUUCAUAUUGGAUUAAUUUUUAUUCGAUAAUUAGAAGUUAUUUAUGAUUAAUAGUUGUAUCUGUUUAUCUAACAACAUAGCACAUUUACUAUGUAUUUGCAAUGUUGUCACGCUAUGGAUAAGAGUUGGAUGUAAAAGUUUAGAGAUUCGAGAGAGUAUAUUAAUGGAGUUAAAGAGUUUGUAUCAUUUGCAGUUAGCAACUCUAAAACUAAAGAAUUCAUUGUGUGCCCCUAUAAGAUGUGUUCAUUGCACAAGAAACUUAGGCCACAGGAAGUAUAUGACCAUUUAACAGGUGGAUCCAGGAUGUUUGAAGGUUAUAUUGAUUGGGUAUGCCAUGGGGAAAAGAUUAAUGCUUCCCAUGAUACAUAGCCAAUAAUUGAAGGCUCAAGUUCGGCACCGGUCGAUAGGGCGCCAAAUCUUGACGAGCAUAGAAUGUUGCAUCAAAUAUUGCAUGAUGUUUUCCGUAUGCACGAUAGUAGAGUAGAUGAGGGUGGAUCUCAAAUGGAAGCUAAAGUUGAAACUAUGGAAGAAGUCCAAGAAGACACUGAUGACAAGUGUGCGAUAAAGUUCUACAAUUUGAUCAAGGAUGCUGACAAGCUACUAUAUGAGAAUACAAAACAUAGCAAAUUAGGGGCCAUUGUACAUCUUUAGAGUUGUGGUUAGAUUGCUGUCAAAAUUAAAUUUUAUUUUUUGCUCUUUGUAUUUUGAAUUUUGUAAUUUUUUAUUUUUGUACACCUAUACUGUUUGUUUGUACUUGUUCAUUCUCAUCAAAAUAAAACUGCCUAUAUUAACUCAAUCGUGGGGGCUGAGAUUUAAAGGACGUAUCGUUUUGAUUUUCCUUCACAAAUCAUGCUUAACAUUGGCUAUUCCCAUUGAUUGAUGACUGCAGGGCUCUAGCGAGAAGUUUUGGUUCAAACCAGCUUCGCCAUGCUUGUAGGCUAAAGAAUUUGUUGUGGAUCUUUUCUCUUUGUUGUAUGAUGACUACCCUAUUGUGUGUAUUCUGGUUGACUAGUUUCAGUACAAGUUCUUGCUAAUUGACUUAUAGGACUUUUGAAAGGAUUUGUAACAGAUAUAAUCUUUCAGUCGGAUAGUUUUUAAGAUAAUUCUAUGAUAUAAAACUUCAAAUGAUAACAAUUUCUCUUAAAUAAG